UACGUAGGGUGCGAGCGUUAAUCGGAUUUAUUGGGCGUAAAGAGCUCGUAGGCGGCUCAGUAAGUCAGGUGUGAAACCUCCAGGCUCAACCUGGAGACGCCACCUGAUACUGCUGUGGCUAGAGUCCGGUAGGGGAGCGUGGAAUUCCUGGUGUAGCGGUGAAAUGCGCAGAUAUCAGGAGGAACACCAGCGGCGAAGGCGGCGCUCUGGGCCGGAACUGACGCUGAGGAGCGAAAGCGUGGGUAGCAAACAGG
rnacentral:rRNA from 1 species